CCAAGCAGCCAUAGCAGCGUUGGAAGAGAAAAUCGAAUUACUGGAAAAUGGGACAGCCUCAAGAAGUUUGUUGUUUAAGACCAUCCGUAUCAGAACAAGUACAGUGAAACAACCGCAUUAGCUUGAUCUUAUGAUGAGCUUCCAUUUCGGUUCAAUUCAGCCGAUUGAUUCAUCUUGGCAUCCUUGCAAGGAACAUAUUGCAGUAUUAUUUCCUCAUGAGCACGGUGAACCUCAACGACUCAGCUGGGCAUCCAGCACCGUACCAGCAAAUCCACCCACAAUUUUGAUCAUCCUUGAUGCAGAGAAUGCGUGAGUGAUACAAUUAUUGUUUGUUUUGGUCAUUUCUGGCAGCUAGGAGCUCGUAAUUCUCGUUUUACAACUUUUACAGGUGCUUGAUGGUGUGUCCAGAUUGGGACGUUCAAGGCCGAUUGAUGUUCCAGGUCCAGCCCUCCAGCAACACCAACACAGUUAUUUCCUGUGAAGCUUCCAGAACAGAAGAGCUGGGGCUUGCCCUUUUUAUAGCCGGGGAAAGGAUACGCGAUCCCUUUUAUUCCUGCUAAUUUGGUAUUUGAGACGAAGAAGAGAAGAAAAUGCAUGCUGUCUCCAUGUCGGACUCUGCUUGCGGAUCAUGUUAUUACUAAUCCGCAACGUGCGGCUAAUUACUCCUUCCGUUCCAUAAUUUUUGUCGGAAAUUACAUGUAUCUAUACGUCUUUUAGAAUAGAUAUAUCAAUUUUUAAGCAAAUUUGGGACAAAAAUUAUAAGACUGAGGGAUUAUAUGAGUAGCCCUUGUAAUUGCUUCGGCGGCACGGCACCGACCUGCAGAGGGGGUAUAGCAGGAAAGAAAUCCUUAAUAUUCCUAGCUUUGCUAGGCGUACGUAUGAA